rnacentral:rRNA from 1 species
UACGUAGGGGGCAAGCGUUGUCCGGAUUUAUUGGGCGUAAAGAGCUCGUAGGUGGUUCGGUAAGUCGGAUGUGAAAUCUCCAGGCUCAACCUGGAGGGGUCAUUCGAUACUGCCGUGACUAGAGUUCGGUAGGGGAGUGUGGAAUUCCUGGUGGAGCGGUGAAAUGCGUAGAUAUCGUAAGGAAGACCAGUGGCGAAGGCGGGUCGUCUGGACAGUUCCGUGACGCUGA